rnacentral:rRNA from 1 species
GGCGGGACACGUGAUAUCCUGUCUGAAUAUGGGGGGACCAUCCUCCAAGGCUAAAUACUACUGACUGACCGAUAGUGAACCAGUACCGUGAGGGAAAGGCGAAAAGAACCCCUGUGAGGGGAGUGAAAUAGAACCUGAAACCGUGUACGUACAAGCAGUAGGAGCAGGCUUUGUCCUGUGACUGCGUACCUUUUGUAUAAUGGGUCAGCGACUUAUAUUCAGUGGCAAGGUUAACCAUCUAGGGGAGCCGUAGGGAAACCGAGUCUUAACUGGGCGUUCAGUCUCUGGAUAUAGACCCGAAACCAGGUGAUCUAGCCAUGGGCAGGUUGAAGGUUGAGUAACAUCAACUGGAGGACCGAACCGACUAAUGUUGAAAAAUUAGCGGAUGACUUGUGGCUAGGGGUGAAAGGCCAAUCAAACCUGGAGAUAGCUGGUUCUCCCCGAAAGCUAUUUAGGUAGCGCCUCGGACGAAUACUACUGGGGGUAGAGCACUGUUAAGGCUAGGGGGUCAUCCCGACUUACCAACCCUUUGCAAACUCCGAAUACCAGUAAGUACUAUCCGGGAGACACACGGCGGGUGCUAACGUCCGUCGUGGAGAGGGAAACAACCCAGACCGCCAGCUAAGGUCCCAAAUUACUACUAAGUGGGAAACGAUGUGGGAAGGCUCAGACAGCCAGGAUGUUGGCUUAGAAGCAGCCAUCAUUUAAAGAAAGCGUAAUAGCUCACUGGUCGAGUCGGCCUGCGCGGAAGAUGUAACGGGGCUAAGUAGUAAACCGAAGCUGCGGCAAUAUACUUUUGUAUAUUGGGUAGGGGAGCGUUCUGUAAGCGGUUGAAGGUGUGUGGUAACGCAUGCUGGACGUAUCAGAAGUGCGAAUGCUGACAUGAGUAACGAUAAAGGGGGUGAAAAACCUCCUCGCCGGAAGACCAAGGGUUCCUGUCCAACGUUAAUCGGGGCAGGGUAAGUCGACCCCUAAGGCGAGGCCGAAAGGCGUAGUCGAUGGGAAACGGGUUAAUAUUCCCGUACUUCUUACAAUUGCGAUGGGGGGACGGAGAAGGCUAGGUGGGCCUGGCGACGGUUGUCCAGGUUCAAGUGCGUAGGCUUAAGA